GUCUCUGUGGCGCAUCCGGCCAGCGCGCUUCGGCUGUUAACCGCAAAGGUUGGUGGUUCGAGCCCACCCAGGGACG